UACAGAGGUCUCAAGCGUUGUUCGGAUUCAUUGGGCGUAAAGGGUGCGUAGGUGGUGCUGUAAGUCAGGUGUGAAAUCUCGGAGCUUAACUUCGAAACUGCAUUCGAUACUGCCGUGCUUGAGGACUGGAGAGGAGACUGGAAUUUACGGUGUAGCGGUGAAAUGCGUAGAUAUCGUAAGGAAGACCAGUGGCGAAGGCGGGUCUCUGGACAGUUCCUGACGCUGAGGCACGAAGGUCAGGGGAGCAAACGGG
rnacentral:rRNA from 1 species